rnacentral:rRNA from 1 species
CGCUAUCACUCCUACGGGAGGCAGCAGUGGGGAAUAUUGCACAAUGGGCGCAAGCCUGAUGCAGCCAUGCCGCGUGUAUGGAAGAAGGCCUUCGGGUUGUAAAGUACUUUCAGCAGUGAGGAAGGUGGAGUCGUUAAUAGCGGCCUCAUUUGACCGUUAGCUGCAGAAGAAGCACCGGCUAACUACCGUGCCAGCAGCCGCGGUAAUACGGAGGGUGCGAGCGUUAAUCGGAAUUACUGGGCGUAAAGCGCAUGCAGGUGGUUUGUUAAGUCAGAUCGUGAAAGCCCGGGGCUCAACCUCGGAAUUGCAUUUGAAACUGGCAGACUAGAGUACUGUAGAGGGGGUAGAAUUUCAGGUGUAGCGGUGAAAUGCGUAGAGAUCUGAAGGAAUACCGGUGGCGAAGGCGGCCCCCUGGACAGAUACUGACACUCAGACUGCGAAAGCGUGGGGAGCCAAACAGGAUUAGAUACCCUGGUAG